rnacentral:lncRNA from 1 species
UCCCCCUUACUCAAGUAGGAGCGAGAUCGAGUAGGGCGAUGCAAACCCUCCCUACUCGAGGGCUACUUGAAACAUCGAGUGAUACUCGAAGGCUAGUGUGUAUUAAAAAAAAUGAAAUUUGAAAAAACGGCAGUUUUAGCAGAUGACAAUUUUUUUUUAUUAUUAUUUUCGGUCCAUUUGACCGUUUGUUGUUUUUUUUACUUUUUUUUCUUUUUUUUUUUUCUUUUUAUCUUCUUUAAAUACUCCUUCUUUUCCAAACCCUAAAUCCAUCUCCUUCUACCAUCUUCCAUCUUCUUCCUCUCUCUAUCAACCUCCAUGG